AACGAACGCUUGCGGCGCGCCUAAUACAUGCAAGUCGAACGAGGUAGCAAUACCUAGUGGCGCACGGGUGAGUAACGCGUGGAUAAUCUGCCUUUCAGUGGGGGAUAACUAUCCGAAAGGAUAGCUAAUACCGCAUGAGGCCACAGGGACUGCGAUCACAGGGGUUAAAGGAGCAAUUCGCUGAAAGAUGAGUCUGCGUGGGAUUAGCUAGUUGGUGGGGUAAUGGCCUACCAAGGCUACGAUCUCUAGCUGGUCUGAGAGGAUGACCAGUCACACUGGAACUGAGACACGGUCCAGACUCCUACGGGAGGCAGCAGUAGGGAAUAUUGCGCAAUGGGGGAAACCCUGACGCAGCGACGCCGCGUGAGUGAUGAAGGCCUUCGGGUCGUAAAGCUCUGUUGUCCGAGACGAAAAAAAUGACGGUAUCGGAUGAGGAAGGACCGGCUAACUUCGUGCCAGCAGCCGCCGUAAUAC
rnacentral:rRNA from 1 species